CCAGACAGCCAGGAUGUUGGCUUAGAAGCAGCCAUCAUUUAAAGAAAGCGUAAUAGCUCACUGGUCGAGUCGGCCUGCGCGGAAGAUGUAACGGGGCUAAACCAUGCACCGAAGCUGCGGCAGCGACGCUAUGCGUUGUUGGGUAGGGGAGCGUUCUGUAAGCCUGCGAAGGUGUACUGUGAGGUAUGCUGGAGGUAUCAGAAGUGCGAAUGCUGACAUAAGUAACGAUAAAGCGGGUGAAAAGCCCGCUCGCCGGAAGACCAAGGGUUCCUGUCCAACGUUAAUCGGGGCAGGGUGAGUCGACCCCUAAGGCGAGGCCGAAAGGCGUAGUCGAUGGGAAACAGGUUAAUAUUCCUGUACUUGGUGUUACUGCGAAGGGGGGACGGAGAAGGCUAUGUUGGCCGGGCGACGGUUGUCCCGGUUUAAGCGUGUAGGCUGGUUUUCCAGGCAAAUCCGGAAAAUCAAGGCUGAGGCGUGAUGACGAGGCACUACGGUGCUGAAGCAACAAAUGCCCUGCUUCCAGGAAAAGCCUCUAAGCAUCAGGUAACAUCAAAUCGUACCCCAAACCGACACAGGUGGUCAGGUAGAGAAUACCAAGGCGCUUGAGAGAACUCGGGUGAAGGAACUAGGCAAAAUGGUGCCGUAACUUCGGGAGAAGGCACGCUGAUACGUAGGUGAAGCGACUUGCUCGUGGAGCUGAAAUCAGUCGAAGAUACCAGCUGGCUGCAACUGUUUAUUAAAAACACAGCACUGUGCAAACACGAAAGUGGACGUAUACGGUGUGACGCCUGCCCGGUGCCGGAAGGUUAAUUGAUGGG
rnacentral:rRNA from 1 species